GAUGAAGAACGUAGCGAAAUGCGAUACGUAAUGUGAAUUGCAGAUCUCUCAGUGAACCAUCGAAUUUUUGAACGCACAUAGCGCCCGCCGGUCAUUCCGGCGGGCAUGCCUGUCCGAGCGUCAUUGCUGCCCUCAAGCACGGCUUGUGUGUUGGGCCUCCGUCCUCCUCCCGGGGGACGGGCCCGAAAGGCAGCGGCGGCACCGCGUCCGGUCCUCGAGCGUAUGGGGCUUCGUCACCCGCUCUUGUAGGCCCGGCCGGCGCUUGCCGACACAUCAAUCUUUUUUCCAGGUUGACCUCGGAUCAGGUAGGGAUACCCGCUGAACUUAAGCAUAUCAAUAAGCGGAGGA
rnacentral:misc_RNA from 1 species